UUUUCUUCUGUAGAGGGGGACUUACUAAGGGCUUCUAACAAGCAGGAGUAUCAUUUCAAAGUGAAUGCUAACAAGAUUGACUAUAUUUUCAGAAUAAAGUAAGGCUUUGCUUCAUAACCUUUUCUUUCCCUUCUGUAUAUAAAGCUGAGAAAACAAACAGAAGAAAUGCUGAGAGGCACAAGUGCUACGGAAUGCUCUAGGUGGUCAAGGACUAUUAUAACCUGAGUCAGGCUUCCUUCACCGUGGACACAUACCAUCGGUCUACACUAGGACCUGCAUGGGAUGCUCGGGGAGCCUUCAGCUCAGGAGCCUGUUAACACUGACGACUGCUCGGAGGGAUAAACGCAAGGCCACUGCAGGAACUGGGGUGCCACAAGGCCACUGCGGGAACUGGGGUGCUGCCGGACUACUACUUUGAACCACACAAGUCUGAGAGAAAUUAAAGUAUAACAGUCCCAGACUCCUAGACAGUAGGGACCAAAGACUCCCUGUUCUUCAUGACCACCUAGUAACAAAGUUGGAAAUGGUAAGGCAGUUGACCCAUAAUCGAAUUGUUUUGUAGGGGUUUUGCUGUUGUUUAUUCUUUUAUUCUGGGGGAGAUGGGAAGUAUAGUAGACUGAAUGUGAGGCCCUGUGCACACUGAGAAAAUGCUGUAGUGUGAGUUACCUCCCUGACCCAUCCUGGUUUCCCAGUGACUAGCUUUCACUAGGACUGAAUGGGAAACAUGUCCAUGAAGAUGAGGGAGGAAAUACAAAGCAAGCAAGGAGAGUCUAAAUGAGCUGUGGUGAUAACAGAGAGAUAAACCUAAAGAGAACUGAAUACAAUCGAGGGUCGGGGGAGGGCCCCGUGCUAACCAAGCCAAGUGUGGGGGGAGCAAGGUUUUGGGCCAGACCUGACUGAUGGUGCUGAUUUCUGACCUGGGCUCUAUCACCUAUGCUCUGUCAACAAAAAUCUAGCCAUUCCUAACCACAGCUUCUCAUCUCCCAAUCAACACAAAGGGUCAAGAGAAUUUUUUUUUCUAAUUACAAUUUUUACUCUUUCUUCUGGAAAAAAGUUAAAACUAGCGAUGCAAAAUUAUGUGCCAAUUUCAAGGAGCUUGUGACUGUAUGAUUGUCAACACCGAAAUGUCACCUUGGGUCUUUCUGUGGCUGAGCACACAUCAGGAGAACAAAAUGCUUUUUUAUGGGUAAGAAAGACUUGGAAACCUCUGGAGACAUGAGAUUUAGACAAAAAGGUUAUUGAUUUUUGUGUUAUGUAGGUAAGCCUUAAAUAAUACAAUUGUGAAGACAGACUACAGCUGGAGACCUCUGGGGUUCAGCUUUCGAUCACUGAUGGCAGAAAUGGCCGAGAACAAAGUCACACCAGUUUAUAUGUCCUCCUGUAGAAUGCCAUCAACUGACUGCUGACUCAUUUUGACUCAGAUCACUUUAAGUCAGCGUGGCUUCCCCAGACUGCAUCUAGCAAAAUGAAGUAAAUGGUAAAGGGCUUGUAUUAUGAGGAACCUUACAGGGUGGGUUGUUUCCUGGCUUCUUUGGGGGUAUAUUCCUGAAAAAGAAUGCUUCCAUUUCAAAUGCUCGUGCACACACAUAUGCCUGGACACACACAGCAGUCAAACAAUUGCCUUGUUAUUUAGUGUCUCAGAAAAGAUCAAAGGGAUGGAGGUGGGACAUUGUAAUGUCUAGGAAAAACUCCUUGUCUGGCCUCUGCCUCUGUCUGGCCCACAGGUACCAGUUGUGACUCUAGUCUGUGCCCUACUCUCUGCUCCUCACUACAGAACCCUUCCCCGAUAUGCACUGGCUCAGGGUCUCCCACAUGUUGGUGCACGACUAUCUGCAUUCUCUUCUAUCUCUGCCUUUCUCUCUCAGCUGCAGAGUUCAUUUUUCCUCUCCAGCCUCUAUCUGCACCCCAGAAUCCCUAUUUAUGUUCCUCAGAGUGUAAUCUGAUCUCUUCCACCAGUUGUUUUUCUGGGGGAAAAUCUGCCCAUUGCCCAGAUUCUGAGAAAACGUUAAAUCUAGGUCCUGACAACCAGACAGCAAGAACCCUCACUUCUUGAGGGGCAGAGAAAGCUGAGAAAGCCCAUGUGACCAGUAAUCCUUUCUAAUUGCCAUGCUGGCAGGGUUGCAUCUUGUUCUCUGUGCCACCAUGUGGGAACGCAUAGCCACACGCCAGCCCUACAUGCCACUGGAAUGCCAUGUUUCUCAGGCACAGCACUGGUCCUGUCUGCUGACUUGCAUGUAUAUGUUAAUGAAAACUUGAUGGCAGGAAAAUGCAAGCUCAUGCUGCAGAAACAGGGUCCGCUGGUUGAAGUUUCACCUCAUUUGCUCCUCCCUACAUGAGAAAGAAAAAGGCCAAUUCUGGGACUUUACUGGAUCUUUAAGUAGAGGGAAAACAAGUUGUGAAUUAUUUCUGUGAAUGUCCAUCUGUAACCUGUCCUGAUGACUCACAAACUAACCUCAAAGAACAGGCAAUCCCAUGGGCCAUGAACAGAGACAGGGCUGAGCUGAGUAAUUCUGCAGCCCAUCUGGCUUUAUCUGAACAAUCACCACAUCAUCCCCAUGCCUGGUCCCUGGUGGUAAUGGCCCCACUAUCCCUCUCUCCCCUCCACAUGCACUCAGAGCUUCUCUCCAUAGCCUCUCCAGGGGCUUCAGCCUUUUCACAUGACACUUCAGGGGUUCAAGACUGGCUGUUCCAAAAGACAAAGGAGGGAUCUGAAUAUCCUAAGAGUUGAGGCAGAGUAGACACACCUCCCUUUGCAUCAUACUAUAUUGACUAUAAGCAACCACAACAAUCUAUGAAGACACAGCUCAUGUUCUUUUCUCGUUUCCAUAGCAGGAGUUGGCAAAUUGGGGCUUUCAGAUCAGAGCAUCCCUCACUACAGAUACAGCUUUUUGGAAACAGUUAGGAUUAUUAGUUAUGUGCUAUCUAUGACCGUCUUCGCACUAUUAUAGCUGCUAUAGAGAUCAUAUACAUCACGAAGUCCAAAAUAAUUACAAUAUGGACUUUUCUAAAAAUAGUAAUUUACCGAUCACUAUUCCAUAGCAAAUUUUCAUGGAACAAUUCCUUCGUGGCUCCAGGAAACUGCCUGGCAGGGGGCAGAGAGGACAGGAGGCUUGGAAAAGGCACCAUGGAUGUGUCGUUCUCCACCCUAGGGCAAGCGGCUUGCUCAUCUGAUGGUCUUAGAGGUCUUGGUAGCGGAGAAGACAAGUCAAGUCCUCUAAACAACCUAGACUCAGAUACUGCCAACAUGGCAACACUGUAGAAGACAGACUGAGCUAGACAUCCUUUGGGGGUGGGGGGGUUGGCCCUGUUAGCGUCAGCACAGUGUACAUAUAGGUAGACCACCCUGGAAACAGCUUGGAAACGUGACAAUAUGGGAAAGGGUCUGAAACAAGAUUCAUACUUGUGAUGGACAUCCAGGGUCCUUACUGGAGGUUUAGCCUGCAGCAAAGCAUGGGGAGUUCAAAGCUUCCCUUAUGCACACAGGCCCUUCCAUUGUAUGUGGCUGUUCUUUCCACAUAGAGCAGGAAGAGGAGGAAGCUGAGGCCAUGCAUUGUGUCAGGUUCACUUUUU
rnacentral:sRNA from 1 species